UAAAAACCGGGCGACUCAAAACAAGAUUUAGGGUUUUGGGCUUUUUUUUAUCCUCCGAAGCCAAAGCAGCCGUCUUACACAAACCGACCGAAUUCUAGCCAUGGUUAAUCUCUCCUGCAUAUACGUUCAUAUGCAUAGAUUUCUGUUGAUCUCGGUAUUGAUCUAUAUCUUUUGUCGAUUUUUGAAUUUUGCAGUCUUUGAUAGCAAAUGAGGAUUUUCAGCACAUCCUUCGUGUGCAGAACACGAAUGUGGAUGGUAAGCAGAAGAUAAUGUUCGCACUUACGUCAAUCAAGGGUAUCGGUCGUCGAUUCGCCAAUAUUGUCUGCAAGAAAGCUGAUAUUGACAUGAACAAGAGGUUUUCUUUUCCUUUUUCCUCUGUAUCUCUUUAUUUUUCAUAUUAUUUAAUUUUUUUACUCCGCUACAUAUAAUGUUUUUACCUUGCUGAUUUUAUACGCUUGCUGAUUCUAUCGAGUGAAUUGAUUUAUUGAUUCAGUGCUAUGACAACGUCGCAUAAGUUAUCUUAAUAUUGACACUCCUGAGACACCCUGAGAGCACUCGAAAAUUUACUGUCACAGAAAACAUAAUAUCCUUAAAUUUUGUUUUGCACAAAUAUCACAAAAAGAAUGUUUAUUUAAAUAUCUCCCUUAGAGGGAGAAGGUCUCAUCGAAAAAUUUAGUUAACCAGAAAAACGUUGGAUCUAGAUAACUGCAAAAAGCAUUGGCAAAUAUUUGAAUUUCUGAAGAGGACUGGCAUAUUCAUUCGAAAUGUUAAAAUUAAAUACACUACCAUUAGAUAAAAUAAAGGCCACGCUUUGGAAUUACUGCUAAUUCAGUCCUUUUAGUCAGAAUGUUGUUUUUAUUUUAUUGAAUCAUUUUGUAAGUUGACUAUAACAUGGUGAUUGAGUGUUGUCUUUUGCUACAACUAAAUACUUUGAAUGUAGCAUCUUAGUCGUGACAAAUUGUUAUUUUGGCACAGUUUUUAUUUCUUCAUCUUUGUUGUUUGGCAUUCUUCUUAGUUUGGGAAUCAGUCAGGCAUUCCCAGUCAUAAUGAUUUUAUGAUUGUAAUUCUUAUGUAAUUUGAGCUGAGCAUGUCUGCCGAUAAAAAUGAAUGCUUAUAUUCAACAGAAUGUUUGACACCAUACCAGGGAGGGGGUUUGACAAAAAUUGCAGAGCUGGCCACUUGGCCUCACUGGUUAAUCUAAUUUUUGGUUUUCAAUUUAUUCUUUGGGAAAACCAAAAAAAGAUUUAAUGCAGGCUUGCCAGGCCGUGGACCUUUAUACUCAAUGCAGCCCUUUCAACCUUUACACCCUAGCAGGGAGGGGACUAGGC
rnacentral:lncRNA from 1 species